UUAAGCGACCAAGCGUACACGGUGGAUGCCCUGGCAGUCAGAGGCGAUGAAGGACGUGCUAAUCUGCGAAAAGCGCCGGUAAGGUGAUAUGAACCGUUAUAACCGGCGAUGUCCGAAUGGGGAAACCCAGUGUGACUUGUCACACUAUCAUUAACUGAAUCCAUAGGUUAAUGAGGCGAACCGGGGGAACUGAAACAUCUAAGUACCCCGAGGAAAAGAAAUCAACCGAGAUUCCCCCAGUAGCGGCGAGCGAACGGGGAGGAGCCCAGAGCCUGAAUCAGCAUGUGUGUUAGUGGAAGCGUCUGGAAAGGCGCGCGAUACAGGGUGAGAGCCCCGUACACAAAAGCGCAUAUGCUGUGAGCUCGAUGAGUAGGGCGGGACACGUGGUAUCCUGUCUGAAUAUGGGGGGACCAUCCUCCAAGGCUAAAUACUCCUGACUGACCGAUAGUGAACCAGUACCGUGAGGGAAAGGCGAAAAGAACCCCGGCGAGGGGAGUGAAACAGAACCUGAAACCGUGUACGUACAAGCAGUGGGAGCCUCUCUUUAUGGGGGGGUGACUGCGUACCUUUUGUAUAAUGGGUCAGCGACUUAUAUUCUGUAGCAAGGUUAACCGCAUAGGGGAGCCGAAGGGAAACCGAGUCUUAAUUGGGCGUUAAGUUGCAGGGUAUAGACCCGAAACCCGGUGAUCUAGCCAUGGGCAGGUUGAAGGUUGGGUAACACUAACUGGAGGACCGAACCGACUAAUGUUGAAAAAUUAGCGGAUGACCUGUGGCUGGGGGUGAAAGGCCAAUCAAACCGGGAGAUAGCUGGUUCUCCCCGAAAGCUAUUUAGGUAGCGCCUCGUGAAUUCAUCUCCGGGGGUAGAGCACUGUUUCGGCUAGGGGGCCAUCCCGGCUUACCAACCCGAUGCAAACUGCGAAUACCGGAGAAUGUUAUCACGGGAGACACACGGCGGGUGCUAACGUCCGUCGUGAAGAGGGAAACAACCCAGACCGCCAGCUAAGGUCCCAAAGUCAUGGUUAAGUGGGAAACGAUGUGGGAAGGCCCAGACAGCCAGGAUGUUGGCUUAGAAGCAGCCAUCAUUUAAAGAAAGCGUAAUAGCUCACUGGUCGAGUCGGCCUGCGCGGAAGAUGUAACGGGGCUAAACCAUGCACCGAAGCUGCGGCAGCGACACUUUAGUGUUGUUGGGUAGGGGAGCGUUCUGUAAGCCGUUGAAGGUGUCCUGUGAGGGGUGCUGGAGGUAUCAGAAGUGCGAAUGCUGACAUAAGUAACGAUAAAGCGGGUGAAAAGCCCGCUCGCCGGAAGACCAAGGGUUCCUGUCCAACGUUAAUCGGGGCAGGGUGAGUCGACCCCUAAGGCGAGGCCGAAAGGCGUAGUCGAUGGGAAACGGGUUAAUAUUCCCGUACUUGGUGUUACUGCGAAGGGGGGACGGAGAAGGCUAUGUUGGCCGGGCGACGGUUGUCCCGGUUUAAGCGUGUAGGUGUGUGUUCCAGGUAAAUCCGGUUCACUUUAACACUGAGGCGUGAUGACGAGGCACCACGGUGCUGAAGCAACAAAUGCCCUGCUUCCAGGAAAAGCCUCUAAGCAUCAGGUAACAUCAAAUCGUACCCCAAACCGACACAGGUGGUCAGGUAGAGAAUACCAAGGCGCUUGAGAGAACUCGGGUGAAGGAACUAGGCAAAAUGGUGCCGUAACUUCGGGAGAAGGCACGCUGACACGUAGGUGAAGUGAUUUACUCAUGGAGCUGAAGUCAGUCGAAGAUACCAGCUGGCUGCAACUGUUUAUUAAAAACACAGCACUGUGCAAACACGAAAGUGGACGUAUACGGUGUGACGCCUGCCCGGUGCCGGAAGGUUAAUUGAUGGGGUCAGCGCAAGCGAAGCUCCUGAUCGAAGCCCCGGUAAACGGCGGCCGUAACUAUAACGGUCCUAAGGUAGCGAAAUUCCUUGUCGGGUAAGUUCCGACCUGCACGAAUGGCGUAAUGAUGGCCAGGCUGUCUCCACCCGAGACUCAGUGAAAUUGAACUCGCUGUGAAGAUGCAGUGUACCCGCGGCAAGACGGAAAGACCCCGUGAACCUUUACUAUAGCUUGACACUGAACAUUGAGCCUUGAUGUGUAGGAUAGGUGGGAGGCUUUGAAGCGUGGACGCCAGUCUGCGUGGAGCCGACCUUGAAAUACCACCCUUUAAUGUUUGAUGUUCUAACGUGGACCCGUAAUCCGGGUUGCGGACAGUGUCUGGUGGGUAGUUUGACUGGGGCGGUCUCCUCCUAAAGAGUAACGGAGGAGCACGAAGGUUGGCUAAUCCUGGUCGGACAUCAGGAGGUUAGUGCAAUGGCAUAAGCCAGCUUGACUGCGAGCGUGACGGCGCGAGCAGGUGCGAAAGCAGGUCAUAGUGAUCCGGUGGUUCUGAAUGGAAGGGCCAUCGCUCAACGGAUAAAAGGUACUCCGGGGAUAACAGGCUGAUACCGCCCAAGAGUUCAUAUCGACGGCGGUGUUUGGCACCUCGAUGUCGGCUCAUCACAUCCUGGGGCUGAAGUAGGUCCCAAGGGUAUGGCUGUUCGCCAUUUAAAGUGGUACGCGAGCUGGGUUUAGAACGUCGUGAGACAGUUCGGUCCCUAUCUGCCGUGGGCGCUGGAAGACUGAGGGGGGCUGCUCCUAGUACGAGAGGACCGGAGUGGACGCAUCACUGGUGUUCGGGUUGUCAUGCCAAUGGCACUGCCCGGUAGCUAAAUGCGGAAAAGAUAAGUGCUGAAAGCAUCUAAGCACGAAACUUGCCCCGAGAUGAGUCUUCCCUGAGACUUUGAGUCUCCUGAAGGAACGUUAAAGACGAUGACGUUGAUAGGCCGGGUGUGUAAGCGCAGCGAUGCGUUGAGCUAACCGGUACUAAUGAACCGUGAGGCUUAACCUU
rnacentral:rRNA from 1 species